rnacentral:rRNA from 1 species
UUAUCCCUUCGGGGUGAACUUGUCGCUGUCGAGUGGCGGGCGGGUGAGUAAUGCGUAGGAAUUUGCCUCAAAGUGGGGGAUAGCCCGGAGAAAUCCGGAUUAAUACCGCAUGUGCUCUACGGAGGAAAGCGGGCCUCUACUUGUAAGCUCGCGCUUUGAGAUAAGCCUACGUCGGAUUAGCUUGUUGGUAGGGUAACGGCCUACCAAGGCGACGAUCCGUAGCUGGUUUGAGAGGAUGAUCAGCCACACCGGAACUGAGACACGGUCCGGACUCCUACGGGAGGCAGCAGUGGGGAAUAUUGGACAAUGGGCGAAAGCCUGAUCCAGCAAUGCCGCGUGUGUGAAGAAGGCCUGCGGGUUGUAAAGCACUUUUAUCAGGAAAGAAAACCACAGGGAUAAUACCCCUGUGUCUUGACGGUACUUGAUGAAUAAGCACCGGCUAACUCCGUGCCAGCAGCCGCGGUAAUACGGAGGGUGCAAGCGUUAAUCGGAAUUACUGGGCGUAAAGCGAGUG